UAAAUAUCAUAUUAUGAAAAAUGAAAAUAGCUUGAAAGCUGUUCGCAAUCAGUUUAAUGGAGAAACGCGACCCUAACCACACUGUUAACUGCUAUAUCAUAGACUAUAUCAUAGAUGGCUAUUUACAUACAUAAUGGUAUUAUUAUUCUACAAUAUCGUUUAUUAUAAUCCAUAUGGUCUAAUAAUCAUAGUUUAGCGUCGCGUUUAUUUCCUGUUUGGACCGGGUGGAAACUGCAGCUGAGAAGACACCUGUGAUUUGGACCUGUUUAAAGCAACUAUUACUGGAAAGCAGACACUCUGAGAGCCCAAGCCACUGGAUGAGGCGUAGUUUUCACUUCAGAACAAAGACAGAUUCAUCAAUGAUUUUAAAGGGAGAGGAGUGUUCAGUUGCUCUGAGUUUCAUAAGGGA